rnacentral:rRNA from 1 species
AACGAACGCUGGCGGCAUGCCUAACACAUGCAAGUCGAACGAGACCUUCGGGUCUAGUGGCGCACGGGUGCGUAACGCGUGGGAACCUGCCCUUAGGUUCGGAAUAACUCCCCGAAAGGGGUGCUAAUACCGGAUAAUGUCUUCGGACCAAAGAUUUAUCGCCUUUGGAUGGGCCCGCGUUGGAUUAGCUAGUUGGUAGGGUAAAAGCCUACCAAGGCGACGAUCCAUAGCUGGUCUGAGAGGAUGAUCAGCCACGCUGGGACUGAGACACGGCCCAGACUCCGACGGGAGGCAGCAGUGGGGAAUAUUGGACAAUGGGCGAAAGCCUGAUCCAGCAAUGCCGCGGGAGUGAUGAAGGCCUUAGGGUUGUAAAGCUCUUUUACCCGGGAUGAGAAUGACAGUACCGGGAGAAUAAGCUCCGGCUAACUCCGUG